AGUUUCCUUGAAAGAUAUCAAGGAAAGAAGCAUCAUAAGAUAAUGAAUUUCUCCAUUAGGAGAAGAACGAACUUGAAUAAGAUUUAGUUCGGUGGAUGUUAUCUUUUACCCAUAUAUAGGAUAUAUACUUCUAAAACAAUAUGAUUGUAAAUUAGAAGAUCUUUCCAAAAAAUUUCAUGACUCCAUAAGAUGUAGUUGGAAAGAAAGACAAAUCUUAAGCAUGUUAAGAUUUGGGGUUGUGUG
rnacentral:lncRNA from 1 species